rnacentral:rRNA from 1 species
AAUCAACGCUGGCGGCGUGCCUCAGACAUGCAAGUCGAACGCGAAAGUUCCCUUCGGGGGAUGAGUAGAGUGGCGCACGGGUGAGUAACACGUAGGUAAUCUACCUUUGGAUGGGGAAUAACAACCGGAAACGGUUGCUAAUACCGCAUAAUGCAGCGGCACCUAAUGGUGACAGUUGUUAAAGCGGGGGAUCGAAAGACCUCGCGUCUGAAGAGGAGCCUGCGGCGGAUUAGCAGUUGGUAAGGUAACGGCUUACCAAGGCGACGAUCCGUAGCCGGCCUGAGAGGGCGGUCGGCCACACUGACACUGACAUACGGGUCAGACUCCUACGGGAGGCAGCAGUCGGGAAUUUGGGCAAUGGCGAAAGCCUGACCCAGCAACGCCGCGUGAAGGAUGAAAUCCCUCGGGAU